rnacentral:lncRNA from 1 species
GGCAGCUUUCAACAAGAUCCAGAACUACAACAGAUCAAACACCUUCGUAGUUUAGAAUCUAAAUAAGUAUAGUUUCGAAGCAAGUAUGUGUCCCACCAGGGCCAUUUAUGCUUUUUCCUUUUUGCUAACAGAAGUAGCUGAAAGCUUUCAUCAAGCACGAAGAGCACGUGACAGUCAAACCUCUUAUAACCGUUGCCUGCCAUAUUAUAGCUCAUACAUUCUCAACACUUAUAACCAAAGCAUAAAAAUAACCACAACUGUUCUACCAAAAAAAUAAAAAACCUCACCUGGAUUUCAAGAAGAUGUUGCAACCUGGUAUCAACUAUCAUGGUAACAGCAAAACCCAUACUCCUGUUGGCUGAAGCAUUUUACAUUACAUUAGACAGUUGCUACCGAACCCCUGAUUAUGAGCAUAUAUAUAGAGGCUGAAACUUUUCACAUGCCAUCUGCAAAAUGUGACAGCCGAUUCUUUGGCCAUAGGAGGUUCCCCAUCCCAGCCGGUAACUUCUAUCUCCGCCUGUGUGCAGUGCCCACAAUGCCAUCCUGCAAGAUAGAAAAUUGAUCCCAGUGAAUAGUAUCAUCGGCGUUCCAAGAACAGUCCCCUUACAAUGCAAGUCUUGCCAUGAAAUCAGCUGCUUUAUUUGCUUUGCGGUAGGUAAAGAGCAGAAUAAAAUUGUGGCAGCAGGCUUUCCAUUUGCGGAUGUCAUUUAAUAAUUAAUGGCAUUUUCAAGAGAAGUGCUACCAAUAUAUGGUAUAACGAAUAUGAAAUCACCUUCCAAUCAUACUUCAUUGUCAUUCAGAUCUAUUAUAGCAGUACGCAACUCCAUCCAGGCUGCAACAAAUUCAGUAUAAUGUAACGGCGAGGGCAGCAAAACUUUGUCGCCAGCUCUAAUAAGGUAGUUUUCACUUAUGAAUCCAGCAGCCGUCUUGUCCACUAUCACAGCAGCAUCGAAAUUCCACUUUUAAGUUUUUUAAGAGAGGAUACGAGGAUCUAUGCAGGCAUGUAUUUAGUCUCACAUCGAUUAUUUAGUAAAAAGAUUUAGGAUACUUAUGCAGGGCCAAAGAAUCCAAAUAAUACUUUCUAGCUGGUUCUUUUUAAUGAAAUCCUGAGUUAUUACAGAGGAGGUAGUCAAGAGACACAGAGAGGUCUAAAGUGCUGCCGAUGAGCAACUUACAGCUACCUUGGUUCUUGGACGGAAGCUUAAGAGAGACUAUGUGAUCUGUAGUAUCAUUAUGAAUAAGGUGGACAGAAGUUCUUCUUAAUAUAUGAGCGGGUUCAAUAUUUCAAAAGAUCCUUCCAUUUUGAGAUUUCUAAAUCAACUAAGCAACUAAUGCCAGCAAAAGUUGGUACUCUUCCUCUACCCUAGCAGCAGAUUUGACCGUAAGGAUUUUUUCAAGAUCAUAUGCAGAAGAAUUAGAACAUAAAAUCAUAGAUGUGUAUCUAUAUUCGCCAUUGAUUUUCAAAGUCCGAUCAAUCACAGAUGCUCACACGAACACUGAAAGUCAAAUCUAUCUCCCUAGCUUCCUCUCAACAGGCAGCUAUUCGAUAGGACAAGCCUGAGAACCAGUCUCAUGAUAUUUAUAAGAAGUGGAGAGGGGUCCUAGCUAAAUGUGAAACAAACUCUAACAGGCCCUUCCAUCACGGGCUUAAGUUAGGUUUAGGCCUACAUUAUACCACCCCAACCGCCCCAUCCAACAUAAGGCCUGUAUAGCCCAAAAUAUAUGGAUCACCGACAACAACGGGCUUAUAUGCAUGUCGAUCAAUCCAGAUCAUAUAAUCAGUCCAUUUUAAUAAAAUAAAAUAAAUAAUUAAUGAUAGCCUAUAAUCAGAAAAAUUCUCACAUUCUCCCACUUGGGCAAUGUUAAUUAUAAUUUUAAAAUUUAAAAAAUAUUUUAUUUUGAAAAUGACUCUCGAGCUGAACAAUAGAAAAGACAGUACGUGACCAUGAUUUUUGAAAAACAUAUGAUCCAUGGAUGGUAUCUUGAAAUUGACUUAGUUCAAUAGUGUCAAUCAUGUUGAAUCAUGGGAGUCAUUGCAUCUCUUAUUUGACACAAAAUCUAUCCAUGGUUAUGAACAUUACUAACACUAUCGACAUGGAUCUUAGUGUGGUAGUGUAGCAAGAAAAUGAUAUCCAAAAGUAAUCCAAACACAUGCUAUUUUCAUUGUCAGUCCUCCAAUUUCUCUUCAAUAUACUUAGACAUAUAAUAAGCAAGAGAAAUUUUAAUGACUUCAACAAUAAGCUAUUUUGUCUCACAUACUCAACAUGAUGUUAAUGAUGAGACAGCACAAUAUAUCUGAGACUUGACACUUGGUCUCACAUUUCAUAUAACAGGUACAUAAACAAAAUAUCUCCAAGUAUACUAAAACAAAUAUGUACACAUAAUUAAAAAAAUCAAUAUAAAUAUACCAUCAAUUUAUCAUGUCAACAAUAUAUAUCAAUAUUCAUCAUAAGAGUAUGAGAUGAAAAAUAUCCAUAGCAAUAAAACAUCAAUAGACAUAUAUACAAAGUCACUCCCACUAAUCAAGUAUAUCAAAAGAACUCAAUAUGCCCAUAUUUUCAACAUGCCUUAUAAAGCAUAUGUGCCUCAAACCCUUGGUCAAAGGAUCAGCCAACAUUGGCUCUGUAUCUAUGUGCUAAAUAGUUAUGUCCCCUUUCUUCACAAGAUCUCUUACUGUCAGGUACUUCAGCUCUAAAAAUUUAGAUCCACUGAAAGAUUUAUUAUUUUUUGUAAAGAAUACAACAGCUCUAUUGUCACAAUAGAUUGUCAGUGGUCUGAUUAUAGAAUGAACAAUCUGAAUUCCUGCAAUAAGAUUUUUCAGCCAAAUAGCUUGAGUAGCAGCCCCAUAGCAGGUAAUAAAUUUAGCUUGCAUAGUGAAAGAAACAGUUAGAGUCUGUUUAACACUCCUCCAGGAUACUGUACCUCCAAUCAAUAUAAAAAUAUAUCCUGAAGUUGAUUUAAAAUCAUCAGAAUACCCAACAAGAUCUGAAUUUGAAUAACCCACCAAAUCUAUGUUACCAAAUCUUUUAUACACAAGCAUGUAGUCUUUGAUUUUCUGUAAGUACCUUAUCACUCUCUUUGUAGCAACCCAAUGUUGAAAGCCUGGGUUUGACAGAUAUCUACCAAGAACUCUCAUUAUGAAGGCAACAUCAAGUCUGGUGCAAAUCUGAGCAUACAUCAGACUCUCUAUAGCACUGGCAUAAGGUAUAUUCUUUAUCUGAUCUUUCUCAAGCUCAUUCUUGGGGCACUGAUCUUUACUAAACUUAUCAUCCUUGGCAAUAAGUGUAUCACAUGGUUUGCAAUUUUGCAUAUUAAAUCUUUCAAGAACUCUGUUAAUGUAUGCCUUUUGUGACAAACCCAAUAGAUGACGUGAUCUAUCUCUAUGAAUUUGAAUAUUUAGGACAAAAGAUGCCUCUUCAAGAUCUUUUAUAUCAAAAGUCCUAGAUAGCAUUUGUUUAGUCUCACUAAACAAACCAAAAUCACUACUAGCAAGCAAGAUGUCAUCAACAUAUAAAAUAAGAAAGAUAAUCUUGUUCCCACUGAUUUUGAGAUAGAUGCACUGAUCAACCUUGUUUUUCUCAAAGCCAAGAGUGGUUACCACCUCAUUAAAUUUCAAGUACUAUUGUUGAGAUGUUUAUUUUAAGCCGUAGAUGGACUUCUUCAAUUUGCAGAUUAAAUACUCUCUCCCACUUUCUGAAAAUCCUCAGGCUGUUUCAUAUACACUUCCUCACUGAGAUUAUCAUUUAGGAAAGCAGUUUUAACAUCUAUCUGAUAAAGCUCCAAGUCAUAAAUAGGCUAUUAAAGUCAUGAUGAUUUUGAAGGAAUCCUUUGAGGAUACUGAAGAGAAAGUUUUAGUGUAGUCAAUUUUUUCUCUUUAAGUAAAACCUUUAACAACCAAUUUGGUCUUGAAAUACUCAAUUCUUCAUUUAGAAUCUUUCUUAGUCUCAUACACCCACUUGCACCCAAUAGGUUUACAAUUAUCAAGAGGCUCAACAAGCUUCCAUACUUCAUUGUUGGCCAUAGACUGUAUUUUCUCUUUCAUAGCAUCUUUCCAUAAAUCAGAUUGAGGACAGCUCAUAGCAGCAUGAUAUAUUACUGGAUCAACCACAUAUCCAAUGUUAUAGUCACUUUCCUCAAGAUAGAUAAAGAAAUCAUUAGAAAUAGCAGGUUUUCUCUGUCUAAUAGAUCUUCUUAAUGGCACCUCCUCAAUAGGUUGAACUAGUUGAAGAUUUUUAAUAGAAACAAAAGGAUCAGAGGCUUGAAUAUCCACUCUAUUAAUAGGUGUAGGAAUAAUAUUUUCAUCCGAUGCAGACUUAAGAAUAGAGACAGUCUCAACCUGAUUUCUAUCAAUAUCAACAGUCUGGAAAGAUUCAACAUCAGCCAAAUCCAGUUUUAAAAAUUUUGCAGUCUGUGACUCUAUAAUUUUAUUACCUCUUCUAAGACUAUAGAACCUAUAUCCUUUAGCAUGUUUUAGAUAUCCAAUGAAAUAACAAUGAUUGAUUCUGGGAUUAGUCUUUUUCUCUAUCGGAUUAUAUAUUCUUACUUCUGUAGAAUAACUCCAAAUCUAAAAAUGAUUUAAGCUAGAUUUUCUACCAGUCCAAAGUUUGAAAGGUAUUUUAGGCAUAGAUUUACUAGGAACUCUAUUAAGUUUGUAUAAGAUAAUUUUAAGAGCAUCAUCCCACAGAUAUUCUGGCAAGUUAGAUCUACUCAUCAUGCUCCUCAUUAUAUCUUUAAGGAUGCGAUUAUACUUCUCGGCUACACUAUUCUGCUCAAGAUUACCAGUUAUGGUGUAUUGAGCAAUAAUUCUACAAUCCUAUAAGUACUUAACAAACGGACCCAUAUGCUAUCUUGCUAUAUCAUAUUUGCCAUAAUACUCACCCCCACGAUCAGAUCUCACAAUCUUGAUGAUCUUUUUCAAUUAUUUUCAACUUUAAUUUUAAAAAUUUUAAAAUUUUCAAGAGCAUCUGAUUUUUCUUUAAUUAAAUAAAGAUAACCAUAUUGGAAAAAAUUAUCAAUAAAUGUUAUGAAGUAUUUAUUACCACAAAUUGUAGAGGAAUAUGGCCCACUAAUGUCAGUAUAUAUUAUUUCUAAAAGACUUGAACUACGAAUUGCCCUUUCUUUUUAGUCUUAGUUAGUUUACCUCUAAUACAAUCAAUGCAAGUCUCUAUGUCUUCAAAAUCUAAGAUGAGUAGAAUGUUAUCCUUUAUCAAUUUGUCAAUUCUUUUCUUAGAUAUAUGUCCUAAGUGCUUGUACCACAACAUAGAGGAUCUAUCUUUAAUUCUAAAAUACUUUACAACUACAUUCUUAAUAUUUAAAGAAAUAUAGGAAUUAUCACAAGCUAAACAUAAUCUAUAUAAUCCAUCAUUUUCAAAAUACCAUAACCAACAAUCUGAGAGUUAAACAUCAAAUUAAAUUUUUCGUUAUGAAAAUUAAAAUCAAAUCCAAGCUUAUCUAAAGAGAAAACAAAAAUCAAAUUUUUUCUAAAAAUAGGUACAUAAAAGGUGUUUUUCAAAAAAAUCUCAAAACCAGACUCUAAAGACAACUUGAUAACUCCUAUAUAUUUAACUUCAACCUCAAGAUCAUUUCUUACUUUUAAUCUGACUUCCUUCAAACUUGAUUUUCAUUUGCUUAUGAACCCUUACAAAGAAAUUACAACAUCAGUUGUGGCACCACUAUCAAUCCAUCAGGAAUCAACAGGGAUAUUGACUAUAUUUAACUCAUAAUAAAUAAGGGCUAGGGGUUUAUCUUUUUGUUUUUCUUUCUUUUCUAUCCAAGACUUGAACUUAUAGCACUGACUCCUUAUAUGGCCUUUCUUCUUAUAGUGAAAACGCUUGACAUUUUUUCCUAUGACAGUUUUGGGGCCUCCUAUAGAAUGAUUUUGAUCGGGGUUGUUACCACGUCCUUUUGUACCUUGAGACUGUUUAGAAAUAGCAGGUUUAUACUUUUUUUGAUUUACAGAAUCUUUGCCAAAAUGGAGUUUGGAUUGGAUGGAAAGAAGGGCACUCUCACUCUUUUCUUUCUUAAGUUUUUCUUUUUUGGCAACACAUUUGGUGAUCAAAUCAUUAACACUCCAAGUUUCAUUCAAGUAUUAUAAGUAGUUUUGAUUUGAGAGAACUUAACAGGUAAUGAAUUCAAAGCAUGAGAUACAAGAAAAGAAUCAGACAGAUUAAUUUUGAGACCCUUAAGCUUGGUUUGGAGAUGAACUAUUUUCAGAAUAUAUUUCCUCACACCCCAACAUUAUCAUAACUUAUGAUCAUCAGUUCUCUCAUUAGGCAUCCAAACUCAGUAUUUUCAGACAUAAGGUAUCUCUGUCCUAUGGCUUCAAACAACUCUUUAGCAUUACUAGUCUCGGUAGGUCACUCAGAAGAUGCUCAAAAAUAGACCUCUUAAUAGCUAUCAAGCUAAGUCUGUUAGACUUUUCCUAUUUGACAAAAUAAUCUUUUUGUUCAGAUAUACUUUAAUCAUUGAGAUCAUUAGGUUUAUUCUCACAUAACGUCAGAUCAAUAUCAGCAAUCCCAAGAGCAAAUUCCAUAUCUUGCUUCCACCUCUUAUAAUUUGACCUAAUCAAGACCUCAACGAUAACAUUAUUAUUCUUCACACUGAAUAAGAUUGUACAAUCAAAUAGGAGAAUGCAAAACAUUAGUCAAUAGGCACAUGAAUAAAUAAUAUAAGCAAUAAACAAGAGCCCAAACAUAAUAUCACAAAUUCUCCUUUGGGCAAAAUAUGCAAUAUGCAUGGGUGCUCUUCACAUGAAGCCACAAGAAAAAAUAUCCUAGGAUUCAGAAGCCUAUCUCCUUUGAGCAGAUAGACCCCAAAAAUUAGAGCACCCUCACAACACAAUGCUCCAUGCAAUUUUUAGUUAAAACACACAAUAGCCCCAUUUGGGCAAGUGAUUGUAUGCUAUAACUUAAAAAUAUCCCUCUCAUGAUGAAAAAUUCUAUGAACUGACAUAAAUAAACCACUUCGAUGAUAAAUAUUUAUGCCAAUCUAUAAAAUUAUCCAUGCAGAAAAAUAAAACCAAAAUAAAUAUAAUUUGGCAUACAUUAACCACAUGUAUGCCUAUAAAUGAUCAAGUCCAGAAUGGGAUACAGAACAAUAUGUACCCCACUAAUCAUAUUACAAUAUAAUAUUACAUUCCAAAGUCACAGUAACAAAUUUGUACAGCUCAAAUAAGUAAUUUAGGUUUUAACCUAUUUAACUUCCUAAAAAAAAUUGAAAGUAUAUAAAAUAUACAUAAAAUCAAUAAAAGUAUAUAGUACUAGAUGGUCUAUCACAUGCCACAAUAAUUUUCUAAACUAUUAUACCUCAAAAAAUAUUUCAGAAAAUGGCAUAUUACAUCACAUAAUUAAAGAAAUAUCAAAAAAAUUAAUUUCUAAGGACUAUCAUCAAAAAUUAACCUUGUUAAGGAUUAAAUUGAAGUUUUGAAGAACUAGUUUAAAAUUAAAAGCUUCAAGAGGGGCUAAAUAGUAAUACAAAAAAAUUUAUAUAAUAAAUUCUACAAUAGGGACUAAAUUGUAAAAGUGCCAUAAAACAUAAUAUCAGUAAAUCGAGUUUGAAUUUUGGGUUAAACCCAAAAUUCGAAACCCAUUAAGAAAGGAAGUUUUGUUCCUCAUGAUUGGGUGGCUGAAGGAGGGCCAAGCCGAUGCCUCUUCCACCCCCAAGUCUGACCGGCGACUACCAUAAAUAGGCCAAUCGGAGGCCAUCACCACUUAAGGAGAAAUUGCUGGCCAACAGAGAUCCAGUGGCCCCAAUUCUCCCCCCCCUCUUUUUUUGUUUAAAUCCCCUUGAAGCCCGACGCCACCAAGUUCGCCAUCAGUUACCAUAGGCAGUGGCAUCUCGGAUGACUGUCCAUGGAAAGGAAGGAGGGGUCAACAUGCCAAUCACCUCAGGCAGCGUCGUGCCGGACGAGAAAGGUGGGUGAUGAUAGGGAAGGACCGCCCACCUUAUUUAUUUAUUUAUUUAUUUGGGAUCUUGAUUGGAAACACCUGCCUGACACCACCAGCUGUUCCCGAUCGCCGUCGGAGCAGGAUCCCAUUGAAGAGAGAUUCGAUCGGUGAGAAGAAAUGAAGAAGAAGGGCACGGUAAGAUCCAUCCCUUCUCUUCUAGGGUUUUGAUAUUUGUUUGAUCCGAUCCUUAAAUCCGAUCAUAAACCAUCAUCCCCCUUAAUGUCGGCUCACGAGGUGGUCGUCGGACCUUCAUUUGGCCAAAAAGAGGUCCGACCGAUAAUAAGAACGAGAGGAGAGGGCACGGUCUAAGGAGAUAUGCCCCCCUUUCUUUUUAACAAUUUUUUUUGAUUCUAAUCCUCUACAAAAUCUGUGCUUUGAUACCAAUUGUAAGGAUUUCUCCAAAAUCAUAUGCAGAAGAUUAGAAUACAAAAUCAUAGAUGUGUACCUGUGUUCGUCAUUAAUUUUCAAAGCCCGAUCAAUCAUGGAUGCUCUUACGAACACCGAAGGCUAAAUUCUUCUCCCCAGCUUCCUCUCAACAGAUGGCUAUU